rnacentral:rRNA from 1 species
GCAAAGUCGAGCGCGAAAAGGGCAACCUGAGUAGAGCGGCGCACGGGUGCGUAACACGUGGGUAAUCUGCCUUUGGGUCGAGGAUAACCUUCCGAAAGGUUGGCUAAUACUCGGUAAGCUUACGGGGACUUUGGUCCUUGUGAGAAAAGUAGACCUCUAUUUAUAAGUUUACGCCCAGAGAUGAGCCCGCGGCCCAUCAGCUAGUUGGCGGGGUAACGGCCCACCAAGGCAACGACGGGUAGCUGGUCUGAGAGGACGAUCAGCCACACUGGAACUGAGACACGGUCCAGACUCCUACGGGAGGCAGCAGUGGGGAAUUUUCCACAAUGGGCGAAAGCCUGAUGGAGCAACGCCGCGUGUGUGAUGAAGGUCUUCGGAUCGUAAAGCACUUUCGACUGGGACGAAAAACCUUUGGCUAACAUCCAGGGGCCUGACGGUACCAGGAGAAGAAGCACCGGCUAACUCUGUGCCAGCAGCCGCGGUAAUACAGAGGGUGCAAGCGUUGUUCGGAAUUAUUGGGCGUAAAGCGCGUGUAGGCGGCUUUGCAAGUCAGAUGUGAAAGCCCUCGGCUUAACCGAGGAAGUGCGUCUGAAACUGCAGAGCUUGAGUCUCGGAGAGGAUGGCGGAAUUCCGCAAGUAGAGGUGAAAUUCGUAGAUAUGCGGAGGAACACCGGUGGCGAAGGCGGCCAUCUGGACGAGAACUGACGCUGAGACGCGAAAGCGUGGGGAGCAAACAGGAUUAGAUACCCUGGUAGUCCACGCUGUAAACGAUGAGAACUAGGUGUCGUGGGUGUUGACCCCCGCGGUGCCGCAGCUAACGCAUUAAGUUCUCCGCCUGGGGAAGUACGGCCGCAAGGCUAAAACUCAAAGGGAAUUGACGGGGGCCCGCACAAGCGGUGGAGCGUGUGGUUUAAUUCGACGCAACGCGCAGAACCUUACCCAGACUUUGACAUCCAUCAAAGUUGGCCCAAAAGUCGACGUGCCCCGCCAAGGGGAAAUGG